rnacentral:rRNA from 1 species
UACGUAGGGACCAAGCGUUGUUCGGAUUUAUUGGGCGUAAAGAGCGUGUAGGCGGCCAGGUAGGUCUGCUGUGAAAACUCGAGGCUCAACCUCGAGACGUCGGCGGAAACCAUCUGGCUAGAGUCCGGAAGAGGAGAGUGGAAUUCCUGGUGUAGCGGUGAAAUGCGCAGAUAUCAGGAAGAACACCCGUGGCGAAGGCGGCUCUCUGGGACGGUACUGACGCUGAGACGCGAAAGCGUGGGGAGCGAACAGG